GACGAACGCUGGCGGCGUGCCUAAUACAUGCAAGUAGAACGCACAGUUUAUACCGUAGCUUGCUCCACCAUAGACUGUGAGUUGCGAACGGGUGAGUAACGCGUAGGUAACCUGCCUGGUAGCGGGGGAUAACUAUUGGAAACGAUAGCUAAUACCGCAUAAUAUUAAUUAUUGCAUGAUAAUUAAUUGAAAGGUGCAAUUGCACCACUACCAGAUGGACCUGCGUUGUAUUAGCUAGUAGGUGAGGUAACGGCUCACCUAGGCGACGAUACAUAGCCGACCUGAGAGGGGGAUCGGCCACACUGGGACUGAGACACGGCCCAGACUCCUACGGGAGGCAGCAGUAGGGAAUCUUCGGCAAUGGACGAAAGUCUGACCGAGCAACGCCGCGUGAGUGAAGAAGGUUUUCGGAUCGUAAAGCUCUGUUGUAAGAGAAGAACGGGUGUGAGAGUGGAAAGUUCACACUGUGACGGUAUCUUACCAGAAAGGGACGGCUAACUACGUG
rnacentral:rRNA from 1 species